rnacentral:rRNA from 1 species
UAGGGAAUCUUCCGCAAUGGACGAAAGUCUGGCGGAGCAACGCCGCGUGAGUGAGGAAGGCCUUCGGGUCGUAAAGCUCUGUUGCCAGGGAAGAACAGCAUCGUGUUAACUGCACGAUGUGUGACGGUACCUGAGAAGAAAGCCCCGGCUAACUACGUGCCAGCAGCCGCGGUAAUACGUAGGGGGCAAGCGUUGUCCGGAAUUAUUGGGCGUAAAGCGCGCGCAGGCGGCAUUGUAAGUCUGUUGUUUAAACGCGGGGCUCAACCUCGCGUCGCAAUGGAAACUGCAAGGCUUGAGUGCAGAAGAGGAAAGUGGAAUUCCACGUGUAGCGGUGAAAUGCGUAGAGAUGUGGAGGAACACCAGUGGCGAAGGCGACUUUCUGGGCUGUAACUGACGCUGAGGCGCGAAAGCGUGGGGAGCAAACAG